GGGGGUAGAAUUCCAGGUGUAGCGGUGAAAUGCGUAGAGAUCUGGAGGAAUACCGGUGGCGAAGGCGGCCCCUGGACAAAGACUGACGCUCAGGUGCGAAAGCGUGGGGAGCAAACAGGAUUAGAUACCCUGGUAGUCCACGCCGUAAACGAUGUCGAUUUGGAGGUUGUGCCCUUGAGGCGUGGCUUCCGGAGCUAACGCGUUAAAUCGACCGCCUGGGGAGUACGGCCGCAAGGUUAAAACUCAAAUGAAUUGACGGGGGCCCGC
rnacentral:rRNA from 1 species